AGCUGCCAUGUUGUGGGGAUGCUCAAGCAGCCCUGAGGAGAGGCCCAUGUAACGAGGAGCUGAGAGGACUUGAACCAAAAGCCAGUAGAGGAUUGAGGUCUCUUGUCAGUAGCCAUGUAAGCGAGCUAUUCUGGAAGCACAUCCUCCAUUCCCAGUCAACAUCUUAAGUUCAGCCUCAUGAGGGACCUUGAGCCUAGCUCAGCCACUCCCAGACUCCUGACCCACAGAUACUGUGUGAGACACCUUGAAUCACAGAUAGCUGGAGAUGAAAAGGACCUUAGAAACCAUGAGAAACACCAUGGGUGAGGAGAGUGGGGAGCUCUGGAACCAUAAACCUAGCUUCAGGUCCCAUUCUGCCACUCACCAGCUGGGUGACCAAGGGCAGCAUUUUUCAGAGAACAGGAGGGCGCUGCUUCCUUAAGUAUUGCCUGGGAUCACAUUCAAACUGGAGAUGUUGCCAGAAGCAAAUCCACCUCGGUGGGGAUUCUGGUUGACCCGGGAGACCCUCUGCUUCUGAGGGAACUGCUGAGGGGCUUGGGCUGUGACUCCAGGACCAAGGGUUUUGGGAGGGACUUUCCUUCCCUGGAAAAGGAAAAGGAAGUGGAGCUACCAGCUGCUGUUCUGGGAGGCUGGAGCUUCAUCUCUCUACCGUGCACCCUUUCCAAAGCUCUGUUCUCUAAGGGCUUCUAGAAGUACCCACUCUAAUCAGAGUUAAGCUGGAUUUGAAGGUUGAGAUGAUUAGAUGUAUCAAAAAACUUUUAAAGUCUAAUAACACCCAGUGCUGUCAAGAAUGUGGAAAGAAAGAGACAUGUAUGCAUUGUUGAUGUGAGUGUCAAUUGGGAUCCAUUUUUUGAAGGGAGUUUGCUAGUAUCAUUAGAAUGUGAAAUAGAUAUGCUGUCAGUCUCAACAUUUCCACUUCUAAGAGUCAGUUCUAGAGAAAUAUGUGCACAUGGACACAAAGAGUCGGGCAGAAAGAUGGUUGCAGAAAUGUUUGUAACUGCAAAAAAAAUAAAAUAAAAUAAAAAGCCACCAAAUCAAAAAA